rnacentral:rRNA from 1 species
UACAGAGGUCUCAAGCGUUGUUCGGAUUCAUUGGGCGUAAAGGGUGCGUAGGCGGCGCGGUAAGUCGGGUGUGAAAUCUUGGAGCUUAACUCCGAAACUGCAUUCGAUACUGCCGCGCUUGAGGACUGGAGAGGAGACUGGAAUUUACGGUGUAGCGGUGAAAUGCGUAGAUAAUCGUAAGGAAGACCAGUGGCGAAGGCGGGUCGCUGGGCCGAUACUGACGCUGAGGAGCGAAAGCGUGGGGAGCGAACAGG